rnacentral:rRNA from 1 species
AACGAUGAAGUCUAGCUUGCUAGACGGAUUAGUGGCGAACGGGUGAGUAAUGCUUAGGAAUCUGCCUAUUAGUGGGGGAUAACGUAGGGAAACUUACGCUAAUACCGCAUACGACCUACGGGUGAAAGGGGGCUUUUAGCUCUCGCUAAUAGAUGAGCCUAAGUCGGAUUAGCUGGUUGGUGGGGUAAAGGCCUACCAAGGCGACGAUCUGUAGCUGGUCUGAGAGGAUGAUCAGCCACACUGGGACUGAGACACGGCCCAGACUCCUACGGGAGGCAGCAGUGGGGAAUAUUGGACAAUGGGCGAAAGCCUGAUCCAGCCAUGCCGCGUGUGUGAAGAAGGCCUUUUGGUUGUAAAGCACUUUAAGUGGGGAGGAAAAGCUUAUGGUUAAUACCCAUAAGCCCUGACGUUACCCACAGAAUAAGCACCGGCUAACUCU